GACCGGGUAGCUCAGUUGGCAGAGCAUUGGGCUGGUAUUCCAAAGGUCGUAGGUUCGAAUCCCACCGUGGCCA